AGUCGAGCGAACAGACGAGGAGCUUGCUUCUCUGACGUUAGCGGCGGACGGGUGAGUAACACGUGGAUAACCUACCUAUAAGACUGGGAUAACUUCGGGAAACCGGAGCUAAUACCGGAUAAUAUAUUGAACCGCAUGGUUCAAUAGUGAAAGACGGUUUUGCUGUCACUUAUAGAUGGAUCCGCGCCGCAUUAGCUAGUUGGUAAGGUAACGGCUUACCAAGGCAACGAUGCGUAGCCGACCUGAGAGGGUGAUCGGCCACACUGGAACUGAGACACGGUCCAGACUCCUACGGGAGGCAGCAGUAGGGAAUCUUCCGCAAUGGGCGAAAGCCUGACGGAGCAACGCCGCGUGAGUGAUGAAGGUCUUCGGAUCGUAAAACUCUGUUAUUAGGGAAGAACAAAUGUGUAAGUAACUAUGCACGUCUUGACGGUACCUAAUCAGAAAGCCACGGCUAACUACGUGCCAGCAGCCGCGGUAAUACGUAGGUGGCAAGCGUUAUCCGGAAUUAUUGGGCGUAAAGCGCGCGUAGGCGGUUUUUUAAGCCUGAUGUGAAAGCCCACGGCUCAACCGUGGAGGGUCAUUGGAAACUGGAAAACUUGAGUGCAGAAGAGGAAAGUGGAAUUCCAUGUGUAGCGGUGAAAUGCGCAGAGAUAUGGAGGAACACCAGUGGCGAAGGCGACUCUCUGGUCUGUAACUGACGCUGAUGUGCGAAAGCGU
rnacentral:rRNA from 1 species